UGGGGAAUUUUGGACAAUGGGGGCAACCCUGAUCCAGCAAUGCCGCGUGUGUGAAGAAGGCCUUCGGGUUGUAAAGCACUUUUGUCCGGAAAGAAAUCCCUUGCCCUAAUACGGCGGGGGGAUGACGGUACCGGAAGAAUAAGCACCGGCUAACUACGUGCCAGCAGCCGCGGUAAUACGUAGGGUGCGAGCGUUAAUCGGAAUUACUGGGCGUAAAGCGUGCGCAGGCGGUUUUGUAAGACAGGCGUGAAAUCCCCGAGCUCAACUUGGGAAUGGCGCUUGUGACUGCAAGGCUAGAGUAUGUCAGAGGGGGGUAGAAUUCCACGUGUAGCAGUGAAAUGCGUAGAGAUGUGGAGGAAUACCGAUGGCGAAGGCAGCCCCCUGGGACGUCACUGACGCUCAUGCACGAAAGCGUGGGGAGCAAACAGGAUUAGAUACCCCCGUAGUCC
rnacentral:rRNA from 1 species